CGACCGGCGCACGGGUGAGUAACACGUAUGCAACCUGGCCGUCACAGGUGGAUAACCGGAAGAAAUUCCGACUAAUACAGCAUAACACUCCUGAGGGGCAUCCUUCGGGAGUCAAAGGAGGCAACUCCGGUGACGGAUGGGCAUGCGGCGCAUUAGGUAGUUGGUAGGGUAACGGCCUACCAAGCCGACGAUGCGUAGGGGUUCUGAGAGGAAGGUCCCCCACAUUGGAACUGAGACACGGUCCAAACUCCUACGGAAGGCAGCAG
rnacentral:rRNA from 1 species